CGCCCGCCCCGGGGGAGGUGCAAACUGGCCCUCCGCGGGGGGCUGGCGCGCUCCAGCGGGUUUCGCGCGCGCUGGCGGCGGCCGCGCGGUUUAAAGGGGCCGCCUCCUGGGGCAGCGCCCUGCCGGAGACAGCUUUGCGUUCUCGCGCCCUGUGGCUCUGUCCGCCGCGCUGGCAGCGCGCUUGCCGGCAGGGAAGGUUCACCAAGUGCUCGGGUACUUGCACUGCGAUUACUAAAACGGUAUAUUACUACUUAGAUUUCCAGCCUGCACCCUUUGAAACUGAGAGCCAGUCCAGUUCUGCGGGUUUUCUGCAACCCGCUAGCACAAACUGCGCACGCGGGGCGGCUGCCGGUCCGCGGCCACGGGAGUUACGGGUUUGUGGUGGCUCUGUGAUAAGCGAUUGUCAUUGUUCAUCAAAAGCUGGAUACAAUGUAUAGAUAUGUGAACCGCCAUGUAACCUUGCAAGCUGGAUAUAAUGUAUAGAUAUGUGAACCGCCAUAUAACCUUGUAUAAUUAGCCUGAAACUGUGUAAGACGAACUGCCGCAGGAAACUUGCAGAGAUAAGAUAACCGCAGGAAAUUGGCAGAGAUAAGAUAGCCGCAAACAUCAGGGAACACUUGUGGGAUGUGCUGGGGCAAUGUUGUAAAUCCUGUUGUGAAACUCCUAACAAGGCAAGAUCAGGAAAGUAGGUAAAAGGUCGACGAGGAAGACAACCCACCUUCAUCCCCACGACCACUAAAGAGGCAGAAUUCGCCCCCCAGCAACAGGCCCCACAUGCGCAGAGGGAGAAUGAAAAGAACACGUUCACCGGAAGUAAAGAAGUAUAAAAGACCGGAUCUACAGAGGAGGGUCGCGCGCCGCGGAAGAGUAGAGACUCUCCGGCCGCCCAGCGCUGUGUUUUAUCUGCUAUCGCUUGCUCAAACCGAAUAAAUUGAUUAUAUGGCAGAAACUGGCCUUUUGUCAUUUAUAACAGCUCUAACUCCUCUGUGAGAGUAAGAGGUGCCUGGCUCAUCCGAGCCAGAUGCGGUAGUAUUGAUUAAUGGUUUGGAAAUACGGUGACAUACAGCGACCUGGCUGUAGCUGGUAGAAACACUAAAAAGUAUA
ensembl:lncRNA